rnacentral:rRNA from 1 species
AUUGAACGCUGGCGGCAGGCCUAACACAUGCAAGUCGAACGGUAACAGGCAGAAUCUUGCUUCUUUGCUGACGAGUGGCGGCCGGGUGAGUAAUGUCUGGGAAACUGCCUGCUGGAGGGGGAUAACUACUGGAAACGGUAGCUAAUACCGCAUAACGUCUCCAGACCAAAGAGGGGGACCUUCGGUCCUCUUGCCAUCGGAUGUGCCCAGAUGGGAUUAUCUGGUAGGUGGGGUAAACGCUCAACUAGGCGACGAUCCCUAGCUGGUCUGAGAGGAUGACCAGCCACAAUAGAAAGGAGACACGGUCCAGACUCCUACGGGAGGCAGCAGUGGGGAAUAUUGCACAAUGGGCGCAAGCAUGAUGCAGCCAUGCCGCGUGUAUGAAGAAGGCCUACGGGUUGUAAAGAACUUUCAGCGGGGAGGAAGGGAGUAAAGUUGAUACCUUUGCUCAUUGACGUUACCCGCAAAAGAAGCACCGGCUAACUCCGUG